rnacentral:lncRNA from 10 species
CUCCAUCCUAAAGAAAAAAAAAAGUGGCUGUGAGCAACUUACAUAUACCCAACCAAACCAAAACCCAUCUCCCCCUUAACCAGAUCCUAAAAAUGCCCGCAACGACUCCAAAGCCACCCAACCAUGAGAUAUGUAUAGUGGAGGGAAACUGGGAUGAAACUAUCUUACUUUUGCAAAAUUUACAAAAUGUGUGACAUAUGAAUACAUCGCUAGAACUCCUCCCGGCUUUGGAAGUCACCUGUGCAAGCGUGGGAUCCUGAAGCUUAAACUUCGCCAGCGUCACUACAAAUCCAGCUCUGCCUGGGUCUCUCCCUGCAAGGUUGCCUCCAGCUUACUGUGCCCCUGGACUGAAGUCUUCUGUUCCUUCCAAGUCAAGUUGCUCUGCAGGACUCUCUGUUCUGGUCUUUGUCUCUUUGUGCCUAGAGGUGAUAACACCUUGGCUCUUACUAAGACCAGUUAACUGCACUAUUCUUUGUGGUUUCCCUGUGAUCACACCUAUGCAAAUAAACUAUCCUGGAACUAUCCCAUUUUAAUUGUGUCCUCUGUUUGCUGUUGGGACUCUGACCAGUCAUCACUCACUCUUCCCCAACAAACACCCCUAUUUCCCUCAAGCUGCCCCUAACUCUCUCCCUUCCUCACCCCAUCCCCAGCUUACACCAUCUGCCUCCCCGAAACGUCCUAAGCAAACCCUGCCCAUUCUUCCAGGCCCAGCUGAUCCCAUCCUCCUCCCCAGCCAGAGUGGUGCUCAGGAAGCCCUGCCGGGUCAAUGCAUGUUUGAACAUUAUCUGGGCAGUGUCUGCCUGCAGAAGCUCCAGGGAAGGAGGAGGGGUUCCUGAAGAUAUCGAUUUCAUAAUUAGGCCUCAGAGAAAGAGGCUCUUGGAAGCAUCUUUCCUGGAGACCAGAAUCACUGCUUACCCCACCACGGAGGGAGGCCCUGUCAAAAUGAAGGAGGUUCCUUCCCUCUCCUGGGUGAGGGGCUGGGAUUCCCUCUGUCUGUGAGUAUGGGAGUGAUUAAAAGGGAGGCUGGCUGAGUGCCUUACACAAAUCAUUUCCAGCCACACACCCGAGGGACACUGCAGGAAUGCAGGGCCGAACACAAACGCAUCCUUCCUGCUGGGCCUGGCUCAGAAGAGAAAGUCAUGUCAGACCCGGGGAAGGGAGCUUCUGGGUGGACAGUGGGUAGAACAGCAGGAAUCCCAGGCGAGCAGAGUCCAGGGCUCCUCCUCCGAGGCUCCAUGAAGUAACUCAUGCAGGAAGAGAUGGGAAACAGCCUCUGCCCAGGUUAAUGGGAGCGAGUCAUGGCCACCUCCCAGGAAAGGAGACUGGGAAAACAGCAGGACCUAGGCCUUUUCUUCCACAGGGCAGAGCAGUCUGGGGAGGCUUCGCUGCUGCCCAGGCAGGAGACGGCCAUGAGGACAUGUAUAUUCCUGCGGUGAAAAAAACGGAGGCCCAAUUUUGGCCACAGAGGAGAUUCCUAUCACGGAGAGUGCAGGGACUCUGCCUAGCAUUUGAGGCACUUCAGGAAAAGCAGAAUGGAGCAUGGCACCCAACUCUCCACUCUGACUUUCUGAGUCUUGAGCCCCAAAAUGUAGGUACUUUCAAACAAGAAAAGUACCAAGAAAGAGUCUUUUGUAGUUUGCAAGCAUGAUGAUUCGGUUUUGAGAGGUGCCUCCCUCAAACCUUGUAGACGUCGUCAUCGGCACAUUACCUGCCUCUUGGUUCACACGUGGGUGUAUGGGCAUGGGCCAUGGUGGUGUGGUCAUAGUCGGUAGAACAUGUGUGUAGAUAUAGAUAUAAA